UACGUAGGGGGCAAGCGUUGUCCGGAUUUAUUGGGCGUAAAGAGCUCGUAGGCGGUUUGGCAAGUCGGGUGUGAAACCUCCAGGCUCAACCUGGAGACGCCACCCGAGACUGCUAUGACUAGAGUCUGGUAGGGACCACGGAAUACCGUGGUGUAGCGGUGAAAUGCGCAGAGUAUCAGGUGGAACACCGGUGGCGAAGGCGGUGGUCUGGGCCAGUACUGACGCUGAGGAGCGAAAGCGUGGGGAGCGAACAGGA
rnacentral:rRNA from 1 species